AGGUAUAUCAGAAGCCAACCUAAUAAAAAUGUUAGCAUUUGCUCGUAAAAAUUUGAUCAUUUUCUCUCUUAAGUCAGGUUUAAAAUUCACACCGAUCUGGACCAUUUUUUUUGGAUCAUCUCCCAAAAGAAUGGCUUCAAAUAUUUUUGUCAGUUUAUCUUGAAUUUUUUUGACCUCAUCCAACGCAUCUGGUAUAUCAACUGGCACAGUUUUCGCUGGUCAGUUUAUUUUAGCAAAAAUCAUAAAAUACUGUCAUGCCACCG
rnacentral:lncRNA from 1 species